GAUGAACGCUAGCGGCAGGCUUAAUACAUGCAAGUCGAGGGGCAGCAUGAUUGUAGCAAUACAAUUGAUGGCGACCGGCAAACGGGUGCGGAACACGUACACAACCUUCCAACAAGUGGGGGAUAGCCCAGAGAAAUUUGGAUUAAUACCCCGUAACAUAGCGAUGUGGCAUCACAUUGCUAUUAUAGAUUUUUCGCUUGUUGAUGGGUGUGCGGCUGAUUAGAUAGUUGGCGGGGUAACGGCCCACCAAGUCUACGAUCAGUAGCUGAUGUGAGAGCAUGAUCAGCCACACGGGCACGGAGACACGGGCCGGACUCCUACGGGAGGCAGCAGUAAGGAAUAUUGGACAAUGGACGCAAGUCUGAUCCAGCCAUGCCGCGUGAAGGAUUAAGGUCCUCUGGAUUGUAAACUUCUUUUAUAAGGGACGAAAAAAGGCUUUUCUAAGUCGUCUGACGGUACCUUAUGAAUAAGCACCGGCUAACUCCGUGCCAGCAGCCGCGGUAAUAC
rnacentral:rRNA from 1 species